AACGAACGCUGGCGGCAUGGAUUAGGCAUGCAAGUCGAACGGUGACAGCAAUGUCAUAGUGGCGCAAGGGUGAGGAACGCGUGAGUGAUCUACCCUCAAGUUUGGAAUAGCUCCUGGAAACGGGAAUUAAUACCGGAUGUGAUUGCAGGACUGCAUGGUUUUGCAAUUAAAGCAGCAAUGCGCUUGAGGAGGAGCUCGCGUCCCAUUAGCUAGUUGGUGAGGUAAAGGCCCACCAAGGCGAUGAUGGGUAGCUGGUCUGAGAGGACGACCAGCCACACUGGGACUGAGAACUGCCCAGACUCCUACGGGAGGCUGCAGUCGAGAAUUUUGGGCAAUGGACGAAAGUCUGACCCAGCAAUGCCGCGUGCGGGAUGAAGGUCUUCGGAUUGUAAACCGCUGUCGAGGGGGACGAAAGUAUGACGGUACCCCUGGAGGAAGCCGACGGCUAACUACGUGCCAGCAGCCGCGGUAAG
rnacentral:rRNA from 1 species